rnacentral:rRNA from 1 species
CCUACGGGUGGCAGCAGUGAGGAAUAUUGGUCAAUGGGCGAGAGCCUGAACCAGCCAAGUCGCGUGAGGGAAGACGGUCCUAUGGAUUAUAAACCUCUUUUGCCGGGGAGCAAAAAGCGGUACGUGUACCGCAUCGAGAGUACCCGGAGAAAAAGCAUCGGCUAACUCCGUGCCAGCAGCCGCGGUAAUACGGGGGAUGCGAGCGUUAUCCGGAUUUAUUGGGUUUAAAGGGUGCGAGGGGGGCGGGUUAUGUCAGCGGGAAAAUUUCGGGGCUCAACCCCGACAAGCCGUUGAAACUGGCUGGCUAGAGGGGGCGAGAGGGAGGCGGAAUGCGUGGUGUAGCGGUGAAAUGCAUAGAUAUCACGCAGAACUCCGAUUGCGAAGGCAGCAUACCGGCGCCCAACUGACGCUCAGGCACGAAAGCGUGGGUAUCGAACAGGAUUAGAUACCCCAGUAGUC